AUUCAGUUGAUGAGUCUUAAAUAAAACAAAACGCGCGUCUUGGAU
rnacentral:hammerhead_ribozyme from 1 species